rnacentral:misc_RNA from 1 species
UACGAAGGGGGCUAGCGUUGUUCGGAAUCCCUGGGCGUAAAGCGCAUGUAGGCGUACUUUUAAGUCAGUGGUGAAAUCUCGAGGUUCAACCCCGGAACUGCCUUUGAUACUGGAGUCUUGAGUCCGAGAGAGGUGAGUGGAACUCCGAGUGUAGAGGUGAAAUUCGUAGAUAUUCGGAAGAACACCAGUGGCGAAGGCGGCUCACUGGCUCGGUACUGACGCUGAGGUGCGAAAGCGUGGGGAGCAAACAGG